rnacentral:ncRNA from 1 species
UCUGUGGAUCGUUACAUCAAAUGAGAGUAGUUAGUAAUAACGGGUAACCAAUGUUAUGACAAAAUCAGACGGGAUGAAGCAGAAA